GACAGAGUUCUCCGACUUUUCCACUCCAUCAUCACCGUUUUCAAUUUCUAAACUCCGUUACUGUGAAGUCAUCAAGCUCCAAUCUUAAUCAUUCAAUUAAUUAUGUUCUUUACUUCUCUCUUCAUGAGAGCUGGGAUAUGCAGUAAUUAGUUCAGUAGUCGUACCGGGUCAAAACUCUCCAAAUUCCUCUUUCUUUCUCACACUAUAAGUAACCGUUGAUGUUAUUCACCUGCUCCUCUGCACACUGAUUGAUGGAACCUACCACCUCUGUGUCUCCCAAUCCCAGUAGAACCUCACAAAUAAUAGUUCUGAUGGGCUUUGACUUGGUCUUGCGAUGUUCUUGAUACAUGAGCAGUUACUGUUACCAUUUCAGAAGGUUUAGAGCAGCUUCAACUUCCCCGUGAGCACCGCUGAUUCUCCACACGUAGGAGGUGAACAAUUCCCACUCAAGCAUGUGAUAUAGGCAUAUAGCAGCACAUAAACAUAUCAAAUGUGACUUGCCUAUGAAUUGAUAAUCUCAGGAUUCAACGUAAGUGCGUACAUAAACAUGCUCUGUCUCUCACUGAGAAACUCUCUUCCCAAAGCUGUUGUUUACUGCCAAGUUAGAGAAGCUACGAUAUCCCUCAACUUCUUCUACGCUCACUUUAGCAUAAAAUAGAAGGAGAAGCCGGGGACGAUGUUGGACGAAGACACACAACUUAAGGAACAAAGAGGAACCUAAUCCAAACAAGCUUGAGAUGUAUCCAUGCUGUGCCUUGGAGAUAUAGUGGGUUUUAAGAUGGCAGCACUCUCCUCUCUCCAUUCUUAACACGACGAACCAAGAGAAAGUUUGUUGUGACUCCUCCAGCUAAUGUCACAGAGACUCUUCUAAGUACACUCCUGCAGAGAAGAUCCCAUUUCAGUACGGUUUUCUAAAGAGAUGAUGAUGAUACCAAAUUCUCCAACGAAGCUGUGUCCGAAGUUGUCGUUAAGCAUGGGUCAUCUGUGUACAUCGAGUUCCCAGCUUCUGAGAUUGUUGAAGACUUAGAUUUUGCAUGGGUUCACUGAUAAAUCCCGAUCAGUUGCCAAUAAAUUCCAUCAAGAGACAAUGGUGCUAAAUGUUACCAAUAAUCCUCCUUUUUAGGACAACCAUUCAUCUUUUAUUCACUAAUCAAUUGUUGAGCUUGAGACUAGAGAUUUGUUUCUUUCUUUAACACAGGGACAAGGACAAACCAAGGACCCGAAAGAAACAAGUCUACGAGACAUCUGAAGAUACUCUUCUUCUAAAGUAUUUCUCAAAUUAAUUACCGGAGCUAAAAAUGACAUGGGAUGGGCGAGUCUAAAUAAUUUAGCGACGCGUGUCCUUGAGCUUCGGUGGUUUGUAUCCAUGGCCGGAGGAUGCAAUUCUCGCUGCCUUUCCGGAACGCCUGGCCACCGUUGCAUCUUAUUUUAAUCUUUAUUUGCGGUAGGUUUUCAAUAAUUAUCUGCUGAUAUUCGUGAUUGUUAAGCUUUUAGUUCUCUCUCCCUCUUGGUUUAUUGCUAAUGUCUGGAAGAAUCUCAUGAGAUGAAGAAGAUAACGUUUGGGGAUCAGAAAGUGAUCUUUACACAGGAAGAAAGAAAGAGUAAAAUGUUUCUGGAGAUUUUCAAUACCAUAUAUACACAUAAAGAUGUAUAUAUCAAUAUCCAAGUUACGAAGCUUUUAAAAAUUAUUUGAUUAAUAAAUUAGCUAAGAUACAUACAGAACUUAGGAAGACAAUGUGUGAGACCUGUCCGCCGUUGAAAAUAUUUAAUCUUACGCCAUAUAUUUGAAAAUAAUUACCGUGAAUUUGUUCCAACGAGAAAACAAACGGAUUACAUUUUUUACAUAAUUUGUAUGUUCUUUUUGUGACAUGUUACGAUGAAUAACUGGGCUAACAACAACA